CACGUUCACAAUUAAUUGUUCUGGGCAAGUAGUGGGAGGUGACAGAAAGUCAAAUACAUUUGAGGACUCUUCAGGGCUGGUGUUUUGAAGGCUACCAUAUCAAUUGGCACCAUCCAAGAAGGUAGCUGGAGCAUUGCAAAGCCUGUCAUUAGAGCAUUUACCUUUUAAGCAUCUGUCCACCAAUAAGAAAUACUGAAGUAUGUGUCAGAUAUCAAGGUUCCCUACACAAUGCAUGAAUAAGGCACAGAAAAAGGAAUGAUUCCUGAGUUAUGGAGACAGACGAGCUCAUGGCUGGUGCGGGAACUGCCAUAUUUAUACGCUGCCGUCAGGUUGGCUAGGUGGCCCUGGAGGUGUAGGAGUCAGCUGGCGGGGAACUCCAGGUCCAAGGGAAUGAAGGGGAGGGAGGAUCGUCCGAAUCUGCAAACUUAAAGAUAUAGAAGACAUAAGUUGUCCUGGGAAGAGGCUGGAUCACAACCAGAAGCUUCUUUCUUUCCUUGUGUGAAACUUCUGCGAUGACUGGACAUUUUCAUUGGUGGAGCAUGUUCUACGGAUGAGAUAUGCAGCUCAGUGAGCAUGUAAGUGGCAAUCCAGCUUCUGAAGUAUGCAUUCUGUUAAAUAAAGCUUUGCAAAAUUUUAACAGUUAAUGUGUAUACAGUAGUUCAAUCUGGA